rnacentral:rRNA from 1 species
GAUACCCUAUUAUUUGAAAUGUGAAUUAUUUAACUAGGAUUAUUAUGAGUUAAGGUCUUUAAAAUUAAAAAAUUUGGCGGUAUUUUAGUCUAUUCAGAGGAACCUGUUUUUUAAUUGAUAGUCCACGAUGAUUUUUACCUUAUCUUUAAAUUUACAUAUCGUCGUUUAUAAAAAUUUUAGGAGAAUUUGAAUUUUUAAGAUUUUAAAUUUUAAAGUAGUUCAGAUCAAGGUGUAGUUUAUGUUAAGGUUAAAAUGGGUUACAUUAAAUUUAUUUUUGGAUUUAAAUUUUUGAAAUUUAAUUAAAAUGGAUUUGAUAGUAAAUUUUUUAUCUAUGGAAGUUGAUUUAGCUCUAAAAUAUGCACACAUCGCC